ensembl:ncRNA ZK596.5 ncRNA
GCUUGCCUCGAGUUCGAGGUACACUGGGUGUUCUGGUACUCGUAUGGGUACGUGGGUUCGAAUUCCACUUCGUGCAGAUUCUUUUUGCA